ACCCACCUGUUGCCUAAACGGCAGAAAGAGGUUCGUUCCCCUGGAGGACUGUGCCAAUUUUAUCCUUCAGGGUGGAAUCAGACUCGCAGACCUUCGGCGGAUGCAACCCAACUUUUAUUUCUCGAGAAAGACCAGACUCCAACAAGCUAGCGCCCUGUAGGGUCUGGCCCUGAACAAUCUAAAGGAAAGUAAUAGCAUUGCAUUGGAAGGAUUUCAAAUUUACCGAGUUGAAUGAGUGGUAUAAAUCGGUGUGGAAGACAGCAAUAAUGGAGAAAUUGACAUAUAAAAAAAUUACAGGUCAUGAGAGACAUGCAGCCAGCUCACAGCCAGCAGCAAGGUGAAGAUCCACCACUGUCGCCAGCAGUUGCUGAGGACCCAGGGACAUCAACCCUCGAUCCUCCUGCAGCUGAGCAGUCAGGGCAAACAUCCAGCAGUGACCCAGUGCU